AUUGAACGCUGGCGGCAGGCCUAACACAUGCAAGUCGAACGAGUGGCGGAUGGGUGAGUAAUGUCUGGGAAACUGCCUGAGGGAGGGGGUUAACUACUGGAAACGGUAGCUAAUACCGCAUACCAUCAGAGGUGCCCAGAUGUGAUUAGCUAGUUGGUGGGGUAAGGGCUCACAAAGGCGACGAUUCCUAGCGGGUCUGAGAGGAUGAACAGCCACAGUGGAACGGAGACAGGGUCAAGACUCCUCCGGGAGGCAGCAGUGGGGAAUAUUGCACAUUGGGCGCAAGCCUGAUGCAGCCAUGCCGCGUGUAUGAAGAAGGCCUUCGGGUUUUAAAGUACUUUCAGCGGGGAGGCGUUACCCGCAGAAGAAGCACCGGCUAACUCCGUGCCAGCAGCCGCGGUAAUAC
rnacentral:rRNA from 1 species